rnacentral:pre_miRNA from 1 species
CCCACACCCAUGUGUGUAUGACCCCAAAAGAUCACCAUUACAUUUGGCACAGAUAUCUAGAAAAGUUAUCACAUGUGUGUGAGACUUUAUUUUUUUAGAGAUCUGUGUCAAAUUUAAUGGUGUGAUUAUUUGGGGUCCUAUACACAUGGGUGUGGG